AAAGUGCUACAAAAGAGUGGGCUAGCUGGGUGAAGAGACAAAUGGAGUUUGUUGGUUGUGCUGUGAAGAAGAAGAAGGAGUCAGUGCUGCAAGGAGGUGCCCAUGAGAAACCACCAAGAAGAGAAAAAUACCGCAGGAGCUAGAGCUUCAUGAUUUCUAUCAAAAGUGAUCAGUAGCAGAUGAGCUGCUACCCUACCAAGGGCUGGGAUUUACCUGCCAGACCUAACAAUGAAGAGAAGGGAAAGAAGAGGAAGCCUCCCCCCCACCCUCCAAUCAGUAGCUCAGUUAAUUUUAAACUGUUUAUUUCUCUGUAGGCUGAUUAAGUGCCAGAGUUGCAUAACAGCCUAAGAUACCUCAUUCCUGUAUAUUCAGAUGGCUACCCACAGACUGUUCUUGUGUAAUAAAGUGAAAUUGUGCUGGGAGGGAAACUGUCA